GGGGGUGGGGUGGGUGGGGGCGGGUUAAAGAUCCGGUGUUCAAUGGAGCCUGAAAACGAGAUUGGAUGUGGGCACAAAGCAGCAACAUCAACAACAAAGGGAGAACACUGAAACUUCGGGAGGUAUUAGGAAUCUGAAACCUAUUUGGGUAACUCAAAUGCCGAGAGAUAAAGCUGAGUUUAUGUUUGCUAAAAGUGUGUAUGGUUUCCUGCAUCAUAAAGGUGUCUUUAAACGUCCAUCUUUGCUCAAAGUCUCGAUAAAUGUUUCCAAGGGAAUGAAUUAUUUAUAUCAUAAACAAUGAAUUAUUUAUAAAGGAUGCCAAUCUUCUAAUGGAUGAGAAGGAGGUGAAAAGGAGACCUAAAUGACAAUAUUUAUUCCGUUUUUGUGUAUCAAGCUAUUGAGGCUGCUGAUUUUGGAGUUGGCAGAGUGCAAGUUCAACUGGAACAUAACAGUGGAUGGCUGCAAGGGUAAAACUUUAAACUAUUUUUUGAUAUGUUCGGUUCGACUUAGCAGAGAUUCGUUGAUUCACCUACUUCCCAUUUUGCAUGUUAAGGUCUUAUGGUAUAAGACAAAUGAUCAUCAAACCACACCUGUAGUUUCGAUUGUGUUUCAGAAUCACUAAUUGCUUAAAAAGACUAAAAUAUCGUGACAAGUGUCUUUAUAUUUAACGUUAGGUGAUGCUCAAUAUCCAGCGAAAUCGCUUCUGUUCUGUAUCCAUGUUGUGAUGAAAUGUGCAUAUUGCCCCAAUCAUAUUCAGGUCCCUUCCGUUCUGGCUAGCCAUUUAAUCUCAUUUGACGCAAUCCCAGUUGUUUCUUUUGGGUUGGUGUGAUGACAUAAUUACAUUGCAGCUCGGAAAUGUGAUGGUAUUUUAUUGGUUUCCGUUGGAAUUAAGCUCUUUCGAUUUCAAUGCUCUCCAGACUGUUGCAAGUUACCAUGUAAUUGCAAUUUACUUGAUGGAGGGGUACCCAUCAAGUUUUCAACAUGAGCAGACAACUCUGAAAAUUCUCAGAAGUUCAGCCUAGAUGACCGCGUACCUAAGUACUCUCCCUCUCCCUCUAUUCACGGAGAUAAUUUCGAUAUACCCUGUACUUUCACCUCAAGCCUUACUCCAGGAGCAUUGAUUGAGUAUGCAAUGCGCCUGCAAUUUCCAAGUGAACCUAAUUUACUUUUCUCCUAAGUAGGAUUCUAAAGCUUAAAUUUUAGUCGCUGAUUGAUUAGCCGAUGAAAGGAUGCAAUCAGUUACAGAAUGAUUAGCCGGGGUGAACUCCUGGGAAAGCUUGCCUGCGCCAGAUGAUGAGUAGCUUCACAUUUUUUGUGUAUUUCCUGCUAAUGUCAUCAUGCGUGUUUCGACAUAAUGCUUGCUUUGGUAACUCAUCUUAUUCGAUACGAAAUAUAUAGCAAAACUGUAGUGGCAUGAAUUGUCUUCAUGAUAGCAUAGUGGUAAACCACCAAGUAUGAAAUCGAGCUGUUGUCUUAGCUCAACUGGUAGAGCACAUGGUUAUCAGCCUUGUAGUUGUGGGUUCGAAUCCCACAGAUGGCGUAAUAAUUUAAGUUGUCAAUGCCAUAUUAUAUAUCCAUGCAAUACGUAAUCCAAGGUACUUGCAGGUUGUUGGUUACAG